UUUUAUGGAGAGUUUGAUCCUGGCUCAGAGUGAACGCUGGCGGCGUGCCUAAUACAUGCAAGUCGAACGAUGAAGCUUCUAGCUUGCUAGAAUGCUGAUUAGUGGCGCACGGGUGAGUAACGCAUAGGUCAUGUGCCUCUUAGUUUGGGAUAGCCAUUGGAAACGAUGAUUAAUACCAGAUACUCCCUACGGGGGAAAGAUUUAUCGCUAAGAGAUCAGCCUAUGUCCUAUCAGCUUGUUGGUAAGGUAAUGGCUUACCAAGGCUAUGACGGGUAUCCGGCCUGAGAGGGUGAACGGACACACUGGAACUGAGACACGGUCCAGACUCCUACGGGAGGCAGCAGUAGGGAAUAUUGCUCAAUGGGGGAAACCCUGAAGCAGCAACGCCGCGUGGAGGAUGAAGGUUUUAGGAUUGUAAACUCCUUUUGUUAGAGAAGAUAAUGACGGUAUCUAACGAAUAAGCACCGGCUAACUCCGUGCCAGCAGCCGCGGUAAUACGGAGGGUGCAAGCGUUACUCGGAAUCACUGGGCGUAAAGAGCGCGUAGGCGGGAUAGUCAGUCAGGUGUGAAAUCCUAUGGCUUAACCAUAGAACUGCAUUUGAAACUACUAUUCUAGAGUGUGGAAGAGGUAGGUGGAAUUCUUGGUGUAGGGGUAAAAUCCGUAGAGAUCAAGAGGAAUACUCAUUGCGAAGGCGACCUGCUGGAACAUUACUGACGCUGAUUGCGCGAAAGCGUGGGGAGCAAACAGGAUUAGAUACCCUGGUAGUCCACGCCCUAAACGAUGGAUGCUAGUUGUUGGAGGGCUUAGUCUCUCCAGUAAUGCAGCUAACGCAUUAAGCAUCCCGCCUGGGGAGUACGGUCGCAAGAUUAAAACUCAAAGGAAUAGACGGGGACCCGCACAAGCGGUGGAGCAUGUGGUUUAAUUCGAAGAUACACGAAGAACCUUACCUAGGCUUGACAUUGAGAGGAUCCGCUAGAAAUAGUGGAGUGUCUAGCUUGCUAGACCUUGAAAACAGGUGCUGCACGGCUGUCGUCAGCUCGUGUCGUGAGAUGUUGGGUUAAGUCCCGCAACGAGCGCAACCCCCUUUCUUAGUUGCUAACAGGUUAUGCUGAGAACUCUAAGGAUACUGCCUCCGUAAGGAGGAGGAAGGUGGGGACGACGUCAAGUCAUCAUGGCCCUUACGCCUAGGGCUACACACGUGCUACAAUGGGGUGCACAAAGAGAAGCAAUACACCGCCCGUCACACCAUGGGAGUUGUGUUUGCCUUAAGUCAGGAUGCUAAACUAGCUACUGCCCACGGCACACACAGCGACUGGGGUGAAGUCGUAACAAGGUAACCGUAGGUGAACCUGCGGUUGGAUCACCUCCUUUCUA
rnacentral:rRNA from 1 species